GACAGAGGGUGCAAACGUUGUUCGGAAUUACUGGGCGUAAAGCGCGUGUAGGCGGCUAAGUAAGUUGGGCGUGAAAUCCCACGGCUCAACCGUGGAAGUGCACUCGAAACUGCAUAGCUAGAGUCCUGGAGAGGAAGGUGGAAUGCUUGGUGUAGAGGUGAAAUUCGUAGAUAUCAAGCGGAACACCGGUGGCGAAGGCGGCCUUCUGGACAGUGACUGACGCUGAGACGCGAAAGCGUGGGGAGCAAACAGG
rnacentral:rRNA from 1 species